UACAGAGGUCUCAAGCGUUGUUCGGAUUCAUUGGGCGUAAAGGGUGCGUAGGCGGCGCGGUAAGUCGGGUGUGAAAUCUCGGGGCUUAACUCCGAAACUGCAUUCGAUACUGGCGUGCUUGAGGACUGGAGAGGAGACUGGAAUUCAUGGUGUAGCAGUGAAAUGCGUAGAUAUCGUAAGGAAGACCAGUGGCGAAGGCGGGUCUCUGGACAGUUCCUGACGCUGAGGCACGAAGGCCAGGGGAGCAAACGGG
rnacentral:rRNA from 1 species